CCUACGGGUGGCAGCAGUCGGGAAUAUUGCGCAAUGGAGGAAACUCUGACGCAGUGACGCCGCGUAUAGGAAGAAGGUUUUCGGAUUGUAAACUAUUGUCGUUAGGGAAGAUAAAAGACUGUACCUAAGGAGGAAGCCCCGGCUAACUAUGUGCCAGCAGCCGCGGUAAUACAUAGGGGGCAAGCGUUCUCCGGGAUUAUUGUGUGUAAAGGGUGCGUAGACGGGAGAACAAGUUGGUUGUGAAAUCGCUCGGCUCAACUGAGGAACUGCAACCAAAACUAUUCUCCUUGAGUGUCUGAGAGGAGAGUGGAAUGCCAGGUGUAGCGGUGAAAUGCGUAGAUAUUAGGAGGAACACCAGUGGCGAAGGCGACUUUCUGGACGGUAACUGACGUUGAGGCACGAAAGUGUGGGGAGCAAACAGGAUUAGAUACCCUGGUAGUC
rnacentral:rRNA from 1 species